rnacentral:tRNA from 1 species
GGGUGUUUGGUCUAGUGGUAUGAUUCUCGCUUCGGGUGCGAGAGGUCGUGAGUUCGAUUCUGCAACACCCC